rnacentral:rRNA from 1 species
GAUGAACGCUCGCUACAGGCUUAACACAUGCAAGUCGCGGGGCAGCAUGGGGGUUGCUUGCAAUCCCCGAUGGCGACCGGCGCACGGGUGAGUAACGCGUAUCCAACCUGCCCUUCACCACGGGAUAACCCGGCGAAAGUCGGACUAAUACCGUAUGUUGUCCAUUGACGGCAUCCGAUUUGGACGAAAGGUUUGGCGGGGAAGGAUGGGGAUGCGUCCGAUUAGCUGGACGGCGGGGUGACGGCCCACCGUGGCGACGAUCGGUAGGGGUUCUGAGAGGAAGGUCCCCCACACUGGAACUGAGACACGGUCCAGACUCCUACGGGAGGCAGCAGUGAGGAAUAUUGGUCAAUGGGCGUAAGCCUGAACCAGCCAAGUAGCGUGCAGGAUGACGGCCCUAUGGGUUGUAAACUGCUUUUAUGCGGGGAUAAAGUGGCCCACGUGUGGGUUUUUGCAGGUACCGCAUGAAUAAGGACCGGCUAAUUCCGUGC